rnacentral:tRNA from 1 species
GCCCAUGUAGCUCAGGGUAGAGCACUCCCUUGGUAAGGGAGAGGUCGGCAGUUCAAAUCUGCCCAUGGGCACCA